AAAAAACAGACUCCUUUGCCAUAAAAUUGAAGCUGAAUUUAGUUAUCAUUACACCAAUGUUUCCAGCAAGUAUGAUUGCUAAUCAUGUCAACAGUAAAUUGAAUAUCUACAUUCCCUUUCCUACACAUACAAAUCUUCUACUAUUAGCAUAAUUGUAAUUAGUAACUAUUUUUUUCACAGUACUACCCAAAAUUCCUAAUCAAAAUCUGGCAUAAAUACAGAUGAAGAGAGUAUUCCAACCCAGGAAAACUCAGCUAAAGCGUUACAGCAUCAGGAAUUGCCUGCUCUGCCUACACAUUCAGGAGAUUUGCACUACCUUCUUAGAACAGAUUUCCUUGUCAAAUGGGGAACUAUGGGAUGGCUGGAGUGGAGCAUUUCCUCUGAGAGGACAGGAUGGAAAAGGGAUAGCUUUGCAGAGAUGUAACAGCAGUACUUCCAGGGUCUACCAAGAAGAUGCAGCUGGGCUCUUCACAGUGGGAGGAUGAGAGGCAAUGGGAAUAAGGUGAAAAAAGGAAGGUUCCAACUGAAUAUAAAGUAAAAUAUAUUCUUGAUGAAGACAAUCAAUCAGAGCCCAGACAGUGGUAUACACCUACGAAGUUUGUAUGAUUUCAACCUUUGAGACUUUCAAGACCAGACAGGAAGAAGCCCUGAACAGCCUGGUCUGAUCUCAUGGUUGACCCUCCAUGAGCAGGAGGUAGGACUAGAGAACUCCUGAGGUCUUUUCUAACCUCAGUUAUCCUAUGGUGCCUUGUGUCUGUGAUGUCAGCCUUCAUAAGCCUAAGUUAGAAACAAUAAGAACUUCAUCAAAUAUAAAACUCAAUUCUUGUAAAAUAUUUGGAUCCUACAUAUCAUGUGGAGAUUUGCUUAACUGCCACUUCAGGGCAUCUUAGGAUUUGCUUCUUUGCUUAACACAGUUGUGACAUUGAGCAGAUGUAUUAUGUUGACUUAAUUGUUAUCUGAGAUUUUUACAUAUUCAGUGAAACAUUAUUCUAAAUACAAAAGAUAAUUAAACUUCAAUGAAAUGAUUUACAAGAAAGGAACAAAUGUAGAUAUAGACAUAUGGAUAAGCAAAAGAAAGUUUAUAACACAAGCACGGGCUGCAUAUAAUAUAAUGUCUUCUUUACGACCUACAUAAUUCUACAUUUGCUGGGGUGUUGUAGCUAUAUAUUUGCAUAUACUGACAUUUUAGAUACUUUAAUUAUUGAUUUUAUAUAAUAAUUUGUAUGUAUUUUAAAUGACAUUACUAUACCACCUUUUUCCUCUAGAAUUAAAACAUGUAUUUUAACUUUUCCAUUUAAAUUAUUCCAAAAGCUAAGCAAAAAAAAAUUGCAGUAUGUAUUGUUCUAAUCAGUUUCUUAUUAGCAAAAAAUAUUUUGUCAACAUACAUCACGAUAUGAAUGAUACAUAUGGUACAAAUUUGAAGCUCUUUUAUAGUGCAUUUGUCUCAACAGUGGACCAUAUGAGACUGGUAGAGGGGAGUCCACAAAAAAAGAGCAAACUGACUGCUUAGUUCUGCUGUCAAAGAAAGACACUGUACAGCAUGAUAAUGAACGCAGAUUACAGUGAUUGUGGUUGAACAAUAAACUUUUGAAUAAUGUGAUUUUGUUCA
rnacentral:lncRNA from 1 species